rnacentral:rRNA from 1 species
AUGGCCUCGGGAAGCCGCGCCACGCCCACGCGCUCCCCCUCCUCCGCGCGGCCCGCCGCGCCGCACCAGAAUCACACGCAGUCCUCGGGCGGGAGCACCUCCCGCGCAGGAGGGGGAGGGGGAGGCGCGGCCGGGAGCGCGGCCGCCACGGAGUCGGUCUCCAAGGCCGUGGCGCAGUACACCCUGGACGCCGGCCUCCACGCGGUGUUCGAGCAGUCGGGCGCGUCGGGGCGCAGCUUCGACUACUCUCAGUCGCUGCUCGCGCCGCCCACUCCCUCCUCCGAGCAGCAGAUCGCCGCCUACCUCUCGCGCAUCCAGCGCGGCGGCCACAUCCAGCCCUUCGGCUGCACGCUCGCCGUCGCCGACGACUCCUCCUUCCGCCUCCUCGCCUUCUCCGAGAACGCCGCCGACCUGCUCGACCUAUCGCCUCACCACUCCGUCCCGUCGCUCGACUCCUCCGCGGCGCCUCCCCCCGUUUCUCUCGGCGCCGACGCGCGCCUCCUCUUCUCUCCCUCCUCCGGCGUCCUCCUUGAGCGCGCCUUCGCCGCACGGGAGAUCUCGCUGCUCAACCCGCUCUGGAUCCACUCCAGGGUCUCAUCCAAGCCCUUCUACGCCAUCCUCCACCGCAUCGACGUCGGCGUUGUCAUCGACCUCGAGCCGGCCCGCACCGAGGACCCGGCCCUCUCCAUCGCUGGCGCAGUCCAGUCCCAGAAGCUCGCCGUCCGCGCCAUCUCCCGUCUCCAGGCGCUCCCUGGCGGGGACGUCAAGCUCCUCUGCGACACCGUCGUGGAGCACGUCCGUGAGCUCACGGGCUAUGACCGCGUCAUGGUGUACAAAUUCCACGAUGACGAGCACGGGGAAGUCCUCGCCGAGAGCCGGCGUGGUGACCUCGAGCCCUACCUCGGUUUGCAUUAUCCUGCCACUGAUAUCCCGCAGGCAUCACGCUUCCUGUUCCGGCAAAACCGUGUGCGGAUGAUUGCUGAUUGCCACGCAGCUGCGGUGAGGGUCAUCCAGGACCCUUCAAUGCCACAGCCGCUGUGCUUAGUUGGGUCGACUCUUCGCUCCCCGCAUGGGUGCCAUGCGCAGUACAUGGCAAACAUGGGGUCGAUUGCAUCUCUCGUCAUGGCAGUGAUCAUCAGUAGCGGUGGGGAGGAUGAGCACAACAUGACGCGGGGCGUCAUCCCGUCGGCGAUGAAGUUGUGGGGGUUAGUGGUGUGCCACCACACAUCUCCACGGUGCAUCCCUUUCCCACUGCGGUAUGCAUGUGAGUUCCUCAUGCAGGCCUUUGGGCUGCAGCUCAACAUGGAGCUGCAGCUUGCGCACCAACUAUCAGAGAAACAUAUUCUCAGAACACAGACGUUACUGUGCGACAUGCUACUCCGGGAUUCACCUACUGGCAUUGUCACACAGAGCCCAAGCAUAAUGGACCUUGUGAAGUGUGAUGGUGCCGCACUGUUUUACCACGGGAAGUACUACCCACUUGGUGUCACCCCCACAGAGGCUCAGAUUAAGGAUAUCAUCGAGUGGUUGACGGUGUGCCAUGGAGACUCCACAGGGCUCAGCACAGAUAGCCUGGCUGAUGCAGGCUACCCCGGUGCUACUGCAUUAGGGGAUGCAGUGUGCGGAAUGGCAGUAGCUUAUAUCACGCCGAGUGAUUAUUUAUUUUGGUUCCGGUCACACACAGCCAAGGAGAUAAAAUGGGGUGGUGCAAAGCAUCAUCCGGAGGAUAAGGAUGAUGGGCAGCGGAUGCACCCACGAUCAUCAUUCAAGGCAUUUCUUGAAGUGGUGAAGAGUAGGAGCUUACCUUGGGAGAAUGCUGAGAUGGAUGCAAUACAUUCCUUGCAGCUCAUAUUGCGGGACUCCUUCAGAGAUGCAGGAGAGGGUACUAGUAACUCAAAAGCCAUUGUCAAUGGUCAGGUUCAGCUUGGGGAACUAGAGUUGCGGGGAAUAGAUGAGCUGAGUUCAGUAGCAAGGGAGAUGGUUCGAUUGAUCGAGACGGCUACAGUACCCAUCUUUGCAGUUGAUACUUAUGGAUGUAUAAAUGGGUGGAAUGCAAAGGUUGCUGAGUUGACUGGCCUCACAGUUGAAGAAGCUAUGGGCAAAUCAUUAGUUAAAGAUCUUAUCUUCAAGGAAUCUGAAGAAAUAGUUGAGAAGCUACUCUCGCAAGCUUUAAAAGGUGAAGAAGGCACAAAUGUAGAGAUAAAGUUGAAGACAUUUGGGUCAGAGCAAUCUAAAGGACCAAUUUUUGUUAUUGUCAACGCCUGCUCUAGUAGGGAUUACACCAAAAGUAUUGUUGGUGUUUGUUUUGUCGGCCAAGAUAUCACAGGGCAAAAGGUGGUCAUGGAUAAAUUUGUCAACAUACAAGGGGAUUACAAGGCUAUUGUACACAAUCCCAAUCCUCUAAUACCGCCAAUAUUUGCUUCAGAUGAGAACAUAUGUUGCUCCGAAUGGAAUACGGCAAUGGAAAAACUCACAGGAUGGUCGAGAGGAGAAGUUGUUGGUAAGCUUCUGGUUGGGGAGGUAUUUGGAAAUUGUUGCCGACUCAAGGGCCCAGAUGCACUGACAAAGUUCAUGAUUGUUCUUCACAACGCUAUAGGAGGGCAGGAUUCUGAGAAGUCCCCCUUUUCAUUCUUUGACAAGAAUGGUAAAUAUGUACAGGCCUUAUUGACCGCAAACACAAGGAGCAAAAUGGAUGGUGAGACCAUAGGUGCCUUCUGCUUCUUGCAGAUUGCAAGCCCCGAAUUACAGCAAGCCUUUGAGAUUCAGAGACAACAAGAAAAGAAGUGUUAUGCCAGGAUGAAGGAGUUGGCUUACAUUUGCCAGGAGAUAAAAAACCCUCUCAGUGGUAUACGGUUUACAAACUCCCUGUUAGAGAUGACUGAUUUAAAGGAUGACCAGAGGCAGUUUCUUGAAACUAGCGCUGCUUGUGAGAAGCAGAUGUCCAAGAUUGUAAAGGAUGCCAGCCUCCAAAGUAUUGAGGAUGGCUCUUUGGUGCUUGAGAAAGGUGAAUUUUCACUUGGAAAUGUUAUGAAUGCUGUUGUCAGCCAAGUGAUGAUAUUGCUAAGAGAAAGAGAUUUGCAACUUAUUCGAGAUAUCCCUGAUGAAAUCAAAGAAGCCUCGGCAUAUGGUGACCAAUAUAGAAUCCAGCAAGUUUUGUCUGACUUUUUGCUUAGCAUGGUGCGGUUUGCUCCAACUGAAAAUGGCUGGGUGGAGAUACAAGUCAGACCAAACGUAAAACAAAAUUCUGAUGGAACGGAAACAAUGCUCUUCCUCUUCAGAUUUGCCUGUCCUGGUGAGGGCCUCCCCCCUGACAUAGUCCAAGAUAUGUUCAGUAACGCUCGUUGGACGACCCAAGAAGGCAUUGGACUAAGCGUAUGCAGGAAAAUCCUCAAAUUGAUGGGUGGUGAGGUGCAGUACAUCAGAGAGUCAGAGCGGAGUUUCUUCCUCAUUGUGCUUGAGCUACCCCAGCCUCUGCGAUCAGAAAGUAGGGAUCGGAGCUGA